rnacentral:lncRNA from 1 species
UGCUUCCACAGACUGAAGCGGGUCUAGCAGAGAGUUGGACUCGAGGAAGUCUGUCAAUCUUGCAUACACAAUUUUUUUUUUUUUCAAGGAUCUUGGAUGCAAAAGGCAGUAGCGAGAUAGGACGAUAGUUGGAUGGGGAGUUAGGGUCAAGAUUGGGCUUCUUUAGAAUUGGGGUUACAGUUGCAUGUUUGAAGGGCAAUGGAAAUAUACCAGAGGAGAG